rnacentral:rRNA from 1 species
UGGGGAAUCUUCCGCAAUGGACGAAAGUCUGACGGAGCAACGCCGCGUGAGUGAAGACGGCCUUCGGGUUGUAAAGCCCUGUGAUCCGGGACGAAAGAGCCUGAGGUGAAUAGCCUAAGGAAGUGACGGUACCGGAAAAGCAAGCCACGGCUAACUACGUGCCAGCAGCCGCGGUAAUACGUAGGUGGCAAGCGUUGUCCGGAAUUAUUGGGCGUAAAGCGCGUGCAGGCGGCUUCCUAAGUCCAUCUUAAAAGUGCGGGGCUUAACCCCGUGAUGGGAUGGAAAGUGGGAAGCUGGAGUAUCGGAGAAGAAAGUGGAAUUCCUAGUGUAGCGGUGAAAUGCGUAGAGAUUAGGAAGAACACCGGUGGCGAAGGCGACUUUCUGGACGAAAACUGACGCUGAGGCGCGAAAGCGUGGGGAGCAAACAGG